rnacentral:rRNA from 1 species
CAGCCGCCGCGGUAAUACGGAGGAUCCAAGCGUUAUCCGGAAUCAUUGGGUUUAAAGGGUCCGUAGGCGGUUUAGUAAGUCAGUGGUGAAAGCCCAUCGCUCAACGGUGGAACGGCCAUUGAUACUGCUGAACUUGAAUUAUUAGGAAGUAACUAGAAUAUGUAGUGUAGCGGUGAAAUGCUUAGAGAUUACAUGGAAUACCAAUUGCGAAGGCAGGUUACUACUAAUUGAUCGACGCUGAUGGACGAAAGCGUGGGGAGCGAACAGGAUUAGAGACCCCUGUAGUCCCUGUCUCUUAUAC